rnacentral:rRNA from 1 species
UACAGAGGUCUCAAGCGUUGUUCGGAUUCAUUGGGCGUAAAGGGUGCGUAGGCGGCGCGGUAAGUCGGGUGUGAAAUCUCGGAGCUUAACUCCGAAACUGCAUUCGAUACUGCCGUGCUCGAGUACUGGAGAGGAGACUGGAAUUCAUGGUGUAGCAGUGAAAUGCGUAGAGAUCAUGAGGAAGACCAGUGGCGAAGGCGGGUCUCUGGACAGUUCCUGACACUGAGACACGAAGGCCAGGGGAGCAAACGGG